ACAGAGGGUGCAAGCGUUAAUCGGAGUUACUGGGCGUAAAGGGCGCGUAGGCGGUUAUAAAAGUGAGAUGUGAAAUACCUGGGCUUAACCUGGGAAUGGCAUCUUAGACUAUGUAGCAGGAGUACAGUAGAGGGUGGUGGAAUUUCCGGUGUAGCGGUGAAAUGCGUAGAGAUCGGAAGGAACACCAGUGGCGAAGGCGACCACCUGGACUGAUACUGACGCUGAGGCGCGAAAGCGUGGGGAGCAAACAG
rnacentral:rRNA from 1 species